rnacentral:rRNA from 1 species
GAUGAACGCUGGCGGCGUGCCUAAUACAUGCAAGUCGAGCGAACGGACGAGAAGCUUGCUUCUCUGAUGUUAGCGGCGGACGGGUGAGUAACACGUGGAUAACCUACCUAUAAGACUGGGAUAACUUCGGGAAACCGGAGCUAAUACCGGAUAAUAUUUUGAACCGCAUGGUUCAAAAGUGAAAGACGGUCUUGCUGUCACUUAUAGAUGGAUCCGCGCUGCAUUAGCUAGUUGGUAAGGUAACGGCCUACCAAGGCAACGAUGCAUAGCCGACCUGAGAGGGUGAUCGGCCACACUGGAACUGAGACACGGUCCAGACUCCUACGGGAGGCAGCAGUAGGGAAUCUUCCGCAAUGGGCGAAAGCCUGACGGAGCAACGCCGCGUGAGUGAUGAAGGUCUUCGGAUCGUAAAACUCUGUUAUUAGGGAAGAACAAAUGUGUAAGUAACUGUGCACAUCUUGACGGUACCUAAUCAGAAAGCCACGGCUAACUACGUG